CCUGAACGCUGGCGGCGUGGCUAAGACAUGCAAGUCGCACGGAGGUAGCAAUACCUUAGUGGCGAACGGGUGAGUAAUGAAUCGCUAAUGUGCCCCGGACUCUGGGAUAGCUGCCCGAAAGGGCAGGUAAUACCAGAUGAUAUAACCGAACCGCAUGGUUUGGUUCUCAAAGGUCCGCCGGUCUGGGGAGCAGGCGAUUUCGUAUCAGCUAGUUGGUGAGGUAACGGCUCACCAAGGCGACGACGCGUAGCCGGACUGAGAGGUUGGCCGGCCACAUUGGGACUGAGACACUGCCCAGACUCCUACGGGGGGCUGCAGUAACGAAUCUUCCGCAAUGCACGAAAGUGUGACGGAGCGACGCCGCGUGUAGGACGAAG
rnacentral:rRNA from 1 species